GGGGAGACUGUGAGAUCGGGAGAGAGGGGGGUUCGGUGGAUCCGUGAGUGGGUGACCCGACGGGGCGGUUCGUGGACCCGUGAGCCCAGGAGCUCCGAUCCUCCAUGAUCGGCGGCUGGGAUUGAAGUCCGGCGAUGGAGGAGCUCCGAUCGUGAAGUCCGUGCGACCCGCCAAACCCGCAACCCGAUCCUCUGAAGCCGUGAAUCAUUGAACCCGAGUGAGACCCGGUUCUCCAUGGCGGUUUUUCGGCGAUGUCCGGUGGUUCCAGCAGUGGUUUUCGGCGAGUUGUGACCUGUGUGCAGCAACCCAGACGAAGACCCGAAGCCCUUGACCCAGAACCCGACCCGUCAGACCCGAGAGGAAGACCCGGUUUUUAAGCAUUUUCCGGCGACUUUUCCGGCGGAAUCAGUGGCUUUUCCGGUGGAUUUUCUAUGAAAAUCCUUGGGGUUAAAGCUCGACCUUGACGCUAAUGGCAAGUCCAGAUGACCCAAUAUGAUGACGUCAUUUCUUGGUAUUGGCAUAGAUCUCGCAAAGAGCAAUAGAUCAUUGCGGACCGACCAAAUCUUUACUUUGUAUAGUAUGUUUCUUUUGGAGAAUUCAAGGUGUUGUAAAGAAUUAUUAAUAAAAAGGCUGAUGUGCCACUUUCUCAUUGGUUGGAAUAAAACCUCUAUUUUUUGUCAUGACCGAACAGAAGGGGCUCUCUUCAAAUAUUAGUAUACGGCCGGUGAUAUUAGUUAGAGGUCAAUUGGGAGAAAAGAAGACGAAUGUGUGCCUUUGAGGGCAAACGCUGCAUCUUUGGGGGCAGAGGUUGGAACCAUAAUUUGAAAUGAAGGGGGAUGAAAU